GCGCGCAGGCGUGGGCAGCAGCGCAGCAGGCGCGCCAGGCAGUCGUCGGUAACGUGGCCGCAGCCCGAGAGCGUGACGGACGCCAGGUUGGGGCACCUGUGAGGAGAGUGCGGUGACCCGGGGCUCACUGGCUUGUUAAAGCUACCCAACCGCCCCAUGGGACCGAGUGGACUCAUUUACCGAGGAGGACUCGGGCCCUGCGAGGUGAAGACACUUGGCUGCGAUGACACUGCAGGGUUCCAAGUCGGCUUUCUGGCCGGCCCAUUUUCCCUCCUCUUUCUGCCCCUGCACCCCACCGUACCUUCAUCUGCGUGGGUUCUUGGCUCGUAGCCUUGGGAGCCCCUAGUGGGAAGCCCCGACCCCGGCCCAGCAGAGUCCUGGGGCGGCUGUGGACAGAGGGAAUGCCGGUUCCAGGAGCCACAACCCUUGACUCUUUGUUUCGCUCUGGAUGUGCUGCCUUGCAGGGGAGCGGUGCUUGGCGAUUGCUCCAGUCUAGCUUCAAGCUGAGGCCCCUGAAUGUCCCGGCGGGACGUGAGUGGGAAGAGGGAUUUGUUUCCUUGGAGGUGGCCUAGUGACAGGCCCAUCCCAACCCUCAAGGCGGUGGGGGCACGCGUUAGCAUUGAGUCCGGGUUCAGCUUAGUAGACUAGAGCUGUUCCUGCAUCCCCUGGGCCACCAGCCUGGAAAAGGGUAGGGUUCGGAGGCAGCUAGAGGCAAGCCCUGAGCAGGUACAGUCACGGACACCCACCCAGGUCGCUUGGCCAGAAAGCUUGGGGGACCCUCUGCUGCAGCCUCACCAGCCCCUCCCAGCAAAGAAAAGAUCUUGAGCCAAGUUAGACUUGGUUUAUCGCCGUGUCAGUCACUCACGGAGCCUUCAUUUCCUCUGCGUGGGGGGAAUAAUGUCUACCACUGGGGUUGUGAGGAGCCUGCAACGGGGCCUUCCACAGGCAGUCCUAACCCGCUUUCCCUGGAAACAAACGGGACCAGCCUGCUUCCAGUCCAGAAGGACCGACUAAUGGGCCGGGGCCUUGGCUCCCCGCAGCCAGAGGGAGCUAGAGUCUGGGCUGGGGAAGCGUUUCCCUUUCCCUGCCAGCCUCCCCCGCAGCUCCGUGACUGCCCCUGGCUGUGCCAGCUCGGCUCCUUUGUGCCAGGGGAGGGAAGUAAGGAACUUAAAUAUGUUGGGUGCAGCCAGGUGUCACACCGAGCCCGGGCCUCCUUCAGGUUUGUGUGCCCUCAUUAGUCACCCCGUCAACCUCUGCACCCCCAGUUUUGUACAUGAAGAAACUGGCUCCGGCAGCUCAGGUGACUGGCUGGUGACUUAUUUGCUGUCAGACCCAGGACAGAUGUCUGAACCUUGCUGGGCGUCACUUCCUCAUUUGUCAAGUGGGAGGAAUUGUUACCUUCAAGGUGGUUAUAAGGAUUAGGUGUUUAAGCCUCAAAGGUGUUGGGUGAUCUUUUCUUCUAAGAAUCUUUGGAAUAAUUCUGAUACAGGGAAAAAACAAAGAGCGGACUGUCCCCCUGCCCAGCCAUCCUCAGCCAUUCCUCCCGACCUGAGCUGAGUGCCAGAAGAACCAGAUUCAGUAGACGUUCAUCAGUACCUACUAUGUGCCAGGUCACUUCAUCCUGGCCCAGGUACUGCAGCUCCAAAUCGUGGGGAUUCUGUAAGAGCUUGCUACCUGUUGACUGAGGAGGCCCACGAGUUGAGAAGAACUAGCAAGAGUGGUACAAAACUGCAGGUCAUUGGGCUGGCCACCAGGUAUUCCCACCCACCAGAAGCUGGCUGUUGUACUCACCCGGAACCAUGGUGCACCACCACAGCGGCGAGGUCAUACAGGCAGCUCUCCGGGCCACUGUUCUCAGGCUACAGAACAAGGAAGAAGGAGCAGUGGUCAAUGACAUCAGUAUCUCGAUGACCUCUACCCUCUCCAUGUGAUGACAAUCUUACUGAAGAGCCAUUUUUUCACCAUGCUAAAAAGGUAACCACCUUACCUCUAGUAAGUAGCAUUUCAUGUCUAGGCCUCUCAGUGGAAAUUCUACGUAUGUAUCAACUUUAUUUCUUAAAUAUGCUGUCCAAUGAAAUCUUUUCAAAUGUAAGCAUAGCACCUGGAGGACAGAGAUGCGGUCAAAGAUUGUGAACACCUAAUUUACCUUUCAGUCAAAGUUUGAUACUACUAUCAGUUCAGUAAAUAACAUUUUAGCUGCCCUAUCAAUCAUUCUUCCAUGCAUACCUUAUGCAUUCAUUCUGUAAGGGGUUUAGCUUUUACUGAAAAUCCUAGAGAAAAAUACAGAACAGUUCACAUAGUGUAAAGUUAUAGACAUGGUCUUAGCAGUCAAGCACUUUCCCAUUGAAAUUGCUUCAUAACUCAAAAUUCAACACUCACCUUGGGUAGUUUUUGAAUCCAAAACUUUUUUGUGGACUUUUGUUUCUUUUUGCAUUUAUGGCACAUAUAUAACUCUGUCUCAUCAAGUUCUUCUAAGUCGGUAAAACUGCGAAGACAAUCUAAACAAAUUGAUUUUGGCAGCAUUAAAACAAGAUGCCUUUUGUAGAGGCAAUGUACUGUAGAAAAAAGACCCAGGUUUAAAAUCUCAGCUUUAUUAGCUAUACGACCUUAGAAAAGUUAACCUUUCUCAAUUGCAAACUGGAGACAAAAAAUAAUACCUACUUUGAAGAACUAUUAUAAGGAAGAGAAAUAAUGUGUAGAGCACCUGGCAUCAUGCCUGACAUCUGGUGAUGAUCAAUUGUGUUGGUUUUACUAUUAAUGAUAAUUCAUCUGGAUAAUUCUGAUAAAAUGGUUUCCUGAUGAAUUUAAAGUUUCAAUUGUAGUUUUCUGUCAAUAUGUUACAUUAUACAGGACAAAGCUCCAAACUCAUAAAAAAAAGUCAAAUUUAGAUAAUUUAAAAAUAAACAUAGAUCACAGAAGGCUACACUAUCAACCUUCUCUGUCCAGACGCUGUACUCUCAGUUCCUAGAUAAAUCACAGCUACAUUUUUUUUCAUUUAAAGAUGUAAUUGUGUAACCUGGGGUUUAGUAAACUACAGUCCUAAAACAUCCAGCCAGCCACCUGGUUUUGUAAAUAAAGUUUCAUUGGAACAGAGCCAUGCCCACUUGUUUACAUUAUUGUCUGGCUGCUUUUACACUACACCAAACUGAGUCACUGGGGCAGAGACCUUAUGUGGUGCAAAGCCUAAAACACUGUAAAUCUUCACUUAAUAUCAUGACAGGUUCUUGAAAAUUGUGACCUUAUGUGAAGCAACGAUAAACCACUUUUUUCUCAUCAAUGUUAUAACUAAACGUUAAAGGAAACUAUUAUUGGAGGACCUGCUGUAUGUCAUUUUGCUUUAAACUUGCAGUUUCCAAGAACCUACUGAUGACAUUAAAUGAAGACUUACUGUAUUUACUCUUUGGCCCCUGUGCCAAUUCCUGAUGCAAUCAGAUAUUCAUAAAUCUAUAUAAAAUACACGUUAUUCUGUAGAAAAAAUAUGAAUGCCUAUGGACCCCACACUUGGAUUUUCUCGAGUACUCAAGGAGCCAGGGUCUCUGUGCACGGCCUCUCCUAGAGUUGUGCAGUGGACAACCUGUGUGGCCAUGUGCUUCUUACCAAAGAUAAUUCCCCUUCCUCUGCCCAGAAGUAGCCAUUAUCCUGACUUUUAUGUCAUUUGUCUUUAUAGAACA
ensembl:lncRNA USP3-AS1 USP3 antisense RNA 1